GACGAACGCUGGCGGCGUGCUUAACACAUGCAAGUCGAACGGAAAGGCCCCUUUGGGGGUACUCGAGUGGCGAACGGGUGAGUAACACGUGAGUAACCUGCCCUUGACUUCGGGAUAACUUCAGGAAACUGGGGCUAAUACCGGAUAGGAAUCCUUGCUGCAUGGUGGGGGUUGGAAAGCUUCGGCGGUUUGGGAUGGACUCGCGGCUUAUCAGCUUGUUUGUGGGGUAGUGGCUUACCAAGGCUUUGACGGGUAGCCGGCCUGAGAGGGCGACCGGCCAAAUUGGGACUGGGGUACGGCCCAGACUCCUACGGGAGGGAGGAGUGGGGAAUAUUGGACAAUGGGGGGAAGCCUGAUGCAGCAAAGCCGCGUGGGGGAUGACGGGCUUCGGGUUGUAAACCGCUUUCAGCAGGGGAGAAGCUUGUGGUGACGGUAACUGCAGAAGAAGCACCGGCUAACUACGUG
rnacentral:rRNA from 1 species